rnacentral:rRNA from 1 species
GACGAACGCUGGCGGCGCGCUUAACACAUGCAAGUCGAACGAUGAACUUGGAGCCUGCUCUGGGGGAUUAGUGGCGAACGGGUGAGUAACACGUGAGUAACCUGCCCUGGACUCUGGGAUAACUUCGAGAAAUCGGAGCUAAUACCGGAUAGGACCUUGCACCGCAUGGUGUGGGGUGGAAAGUUUUUCGGUUUGGGAUGGACUCGCGGCCUAUCAGCUUGUUGGUGAGGUAAUGGCUCACCAAGGCGUCGACGGGUAGCCGGCCUGAGAGGGUGACCGGCCACACUGGGACUGAGACACGGCCCAGACUCCUACGGGAGGCAGCAGUGGGGAAUAUUGCACAAUGGGCGCAAGCCUGAUGCAGCAACGCCGCGUGCGGGAUGACGGCCUUCGGGUUGUAAACCGCUUUUAGUAGGGAAGAAGCCUUCGGGUGACGGUACCUGCAGAAAAAGGACCGGCUAACUACGUGCCAGCAGCCGCCGUAACAC